AAACAUCGAUUCACUCCCCGAGUCACGCAUGGAUUUCACGUUCAUCGACCAGGGAAAACGUAUCAUUAGAUCGCGGAAAUUAGUGGUUGGUAAGGUAACGCAAAGGAUGUCUGUAUGUGGUGCAAAAACAUCACUUGAGAAAGAAAUCGAUUGAAGCCCAAAAGAAGCGAUUGAAUGUGCUGUACACUAUUGCUCAAAAAGUGCAUGGAAAUCCUGUUUAUUUCAAUUUUCUCACGUAAGCCAGGUGGUCGAAGAGGAAGCGAGAA